GUCUCUUCGGAGACAUCCGAUAAAAUUGGAACGAUAUAGAGAAGAUUAGCAUGGCCUUUGCGCAAGGAUGACACGCACAAAUCGAGAAAUGGUCCAAAUUUUU
rnacentral:snRNA from 1 species